rnacentral:rRNA from 1 species
GACGAACGCUGGCGGCGUGCUUAACACAUGCAAGUCGAACGGAAAGGCCCUGCUUUUGUGGGGUGCUCGAUUGGCGAACGGGUGAGUAACACGUGAGUAACCUGCCCUUGACUUUGGGAUAACUUCCGGGAACUGGGGCUAAUACCGGAUAUGAGCUCCUGCUGCAUGGUGUGGUUUGGAAAGUUUCGGCGGUUGGGGAUGGACUCGCGGCUUAUCAGCCUGUUGGUGGGGUAGUGGCUUACCAAGGCUUUGACGGGUAGCCGGCCUGAGAGGGUGACCGGCCACAUGGGGACUGAGAUACGGACCAGACUCCUACGGGAGGCAGCAGUGGGGAAUAUUGCACAAUGGGCGGAAGCCUGAUGCAGCAACGCCGCGUGCGGGAUGACGGCCUUCGGGUUGUAAACCGCUUUCGCCUGUGACGAGGCGUGAGUGACGGUAAUGGGUAAAGAAGCACCGGCUAACUACGUG